rnacentral:ncRNA from 1 species
AAACAAGGGCAAACCUGUUGAAAAGCAGGGACGCAAAGCCAAGGGUCUAAGGUCGUGGGACUAUGACAGCCGGUUGCCAC